rnacentral:pre_miRNA from 1 species
CUUGGGCGAUCACUGCCUCUCUGGGCCUGUGUCUUAGGCUCUGCGUGUUCGACCGAGCAAAGCACACGGCCUGCAGAGAGCCAGCGCUCCGCUC